GUGUGUGUGUGUGUGUGUGUGGAUAUAUCUAUCUAUCUAUAUAUAUAUAUAUAUAUAUAUAUAUAGAUAGAUAGAUAUAUCCACACACACACACUG